AUCAACCGUAACAACAACUUCCAGACGUUUCCUCAAGCUGUUCUACUGCUGUUCAGGUGUGCCACAGGCGAGGGCUGGCAGGAGAUCAUGUUGGGCUGUUUGUACGGUCAACGUUGUGACCCCAAGUCAGAAUACCUACCUGGAGAGGAGUACACCUGCGGCUCUGGAUUCGCUAUUCUCUACUUCAUGAGUUUUUACAUGCUCUGUGCUUUUCUUAUCAUUAAUUUGUUUGUUGC